GAUGAACGCUGGCGGCGUGCUUAACACAUGCAAGUCGAACGGAAAGGCCCUGCUUUUGUGGGGUGCUCGAGUGGCGAACGGGUGAGUAACACGUGAGUAACCUGCCCUUGACUUUGGGAUAACUUCAGGAAACUGGGGCUAAUACCGGAUAGGAGCUCCUGCUGCAUGGUGGGGGUUGGAAAGUUUCGGCGGUUGGGGAUGGACUCGCGGCUUAUCAGCCUGUUGGUGGGGUAGUGGCUUACCAAGGCUUUGACGGGUAGCCGGCCUGAGAGGGUGACCGGCCACAUUGGGACUGAGAUACGGCCCAGACUCCUACGGGAGGCAGCAGUGGGGAAUAUUGCACAAUGGGCGGAAGCCUGAUGCAGCAACGCCGCGUGCGGGAUGACGGCCUUCGGGUUGUAAACCGCUUUCGCCUGUGACGAAGCGUGAGUGACGGUAAUGGGUAAAGAAGCACCGGCUAACUACGUG
rnacentral:rRNA from 1 species